AUACUUACCUGGCAAGGGAGAUACCAUGACCAGGAAGGUGGUUUUUCCAGGGUGAGACUUAUCCAUUGCACUUUGGAUGUGCUGACCCCGGCAGUUUCCCCAAAUGUGGGAAACUCGGCUGCAUAAUUUGUGGUAGUGGGUGACUAUGUACCCACUCUCUCCUG